GACGAACCGUACGAACGUUAUUCGGAAUUACUGGGCUUAAAGGGUGCGUAGGCGGCGCAGUAAGUUGGGUGUGAAAUCCCUCGGCUUAACCGAGGAAUUGCGCCCAAAACUACUGUGCUCGAGGGAGGUAGAGGUGAGCGGAACUUAGGGUGGAGCGGUGAAAUGCGUUGAUAUCCUAAGGAACACUGGUGGCGAAAGCGGCUCACUGGACCUCUUCUGACGCUGAGGCACGAAAGCUAGGGUAGCAAACGGG
rnacentral:rRNA from 1 species